rnacentral:rRNA from 1 species
UUCCUUGUGUCUAUUGUGACGACUCAUAAUAACUGAUCGAAUCGCAUGGGCUUUGCCCGCGAUACAUCAUUCAAGUUUCUGCCCCAUCAGCUUUCGAUGGUAGUGUAUUGGACUACCAUGGCUUUCACGGGUAACGGAGGAUUAGGGUUCGAUUCCGGAGAGGGAGCCUGAGAAACGGCUACCACAUCUAAGGAAGGCAGCAGGCGCGUAAAUUACCCAAUCCUGACUCAGGGAGGUAGUGACAAGAAAUAACGGACCGAAGCAUUUGUUUCGGGAUUGCAAUGAGUAGAAUUUAAACCCCUUUACGAGGAUCAAUUGGAGGGCAAGUCUGGUGCCAGCAGCCGCGGUAAUUCCAGCUCCAAUAGCGUAUAUUAAAGUUGUUGCAGUUAAAAAGCUCGUAGUUGGAUUUCUGGAGGGGCGCCAAUGUCCGAUGUUUUCGUGUGCAGCGGUGCCUCUCCAUCCUUCGGUUAACGUUUCUGAUAUUCAUUUAUUGGUCUCGGGCUCCGAUAUUUUACCUUGAGAAAAUUAGAGUGUUCCAGGCAGGCUUGCGCCGGAAUACAUUAGCAUGGAAUAAUAGAAUAGGACUUUAGUCUCCUUUGUUGGUUUGAGGGACUGAAGUAAUGAUUAAUAGGGAUAGUUGGGGGCAUUAGUAUUUAAUUGUCAGAGGUGAAAUUCUCGGAUUUGUUAAAGACUAACUUAUGCGAAAGCAUUUGCCAAGGAUGUUUUCAUUAAUCAAGAACGAAAGUUAGGGGAUCAAAGACGAUCAGAUACCGUCCUAGUCUUAACCAUAAACUAUGCCGACUAGGGAUCGGAGGCGCGCCUUAUCCGCCUUCGGCACCUUAUGAGAAAUCAAAGUCUUUGGGUUCUGGGGGGAGUAUGGUCGCAAGGCUGAAACUUAAAGGAAUUGACGGAAGGGCACCACCAGGAGUGGAGCUUGCGGCUCAAUUUGACUCAACACGGGAAAACUUACCAGGUCCAGACAUAGUGAGGAUGACAGA